GGCGACAAAAGCUGUAUUUUUCCAAUAUCCACGAGCGCCCCUUUAAUAACCCCCCCCCUCUCCGCGCGGCCGGCUCCCCGAUGGUCCCCAUGGCAACGCAGAUAACGAAGCAGCCAUUUUCCAUAUCUCUAUGAAAGUCUAUUAUAUUGCGGGAUUAGCUCAUCUCCUCGUAAGGAGACCUCAAUUUCUGCUUUCUAUCCUUCUGAAGAUAUGUGACUAGAGCACAUCUACAGUCUUGUCCCUGAGGCUCCUUCUCUCCAUUGAUUUGAGUACCAAGGUCCAUCACUUUCUGGAGGGAAAUGCCAUCACCACCUUCUCCUCUGCUUUGGCUUGUCCAGGAAAUGAUGGUAAACUUGAUGAACAACUAUUUGGGAUAAAUUAGUUACUGGAUCACUCUGAAAAACCAGAGGUUGUCCAAAGGAUGAUGACCAAGAUGCUAAUUGACAUCUACCUGGGAGUGAUGGGACUCUUUGUACUUUUCCCUUUGCUGCUGGAACUUAUCCCCUCAGAACAGUCAAUGGGAUGCUUUUCCAACUCUUUCUUGAACUAUAGGGUGGUACUCUUGAUAUCGCCUUCCUCAAAAUGGCCAGUGGACUUCAUCAUAUGACAUGAUUUGAAGGGCUUAUCCUCAGCUUGAAAGAAUUUAUUGGAAGAACUGUCAAGUUGUUUGGGUUUGGGUUUUUUUUUUCACUCUCAGACUUCCUCAGGCCCUGGCACACCAAACUACACGUGGCAUAGAAGGCUGGGUUGCAAAACAUAUCCGGCAUGGCAGUUGGUAACAGUUGUGCAAUCUCCACCAACUUACGGAAACCACC
rnacentral:lncRNA from 1 species